rnacentral:ribozyme from 1 species
GCUGCAUGUCUGCGCAGGAUUGGAACUCAUGGUGGACAGUUUCUGCGUCGAGUUCUUGGCAGAGUCCAAUUUCAGGGAAGGUGUGGCGCAAUGGAACACGAUUCAGGCUAUUAUGC